GGGGCCUAGGGGGGUCAGGGCUCCUGGGUCCUGGUCCCAGCUAGGACAAGCGUGCGAGCUAAGCCCUGUAGAGAGGCGGGGGGAUCGGAAGUGCCUCUAACCAGCGGCGUCUCCACCAGGCCCGGAGAAGAACGGGUUAAACCCACCGCUCUCCUGAACCUUCCGCUUCCCAGGGAGCUGCCAGCCGCGGGGCCGGAGCAGCGCCGGGACCUUCCUGUCCAGCCCCCGGAGCCCGGGUCCUGGCCCCGCCGGGUGCGCGCAGGGCUGCGUGCCCGGCUCCGGGGGCAGCACCAGCGGCAGGAAGUCGCUGCCCGGAGGGGCCCGGAGCCGAGCCCAGCACAGCUUGGUUGAGCAGCCCGGGUCUCCCCCACGGUCCCCGGCCCGGAUCCCGCCUCCCCCCGGCAGAGCGCGGGGCCGGGGUUCGAGCCCGGCCGCGUUCUCUGCCCCGGGGGGAGAUUUCACCGAGCAGCGCUGCCCGGCCCGGGCGCGAUCCCCCGCAUGGAGCCAGGGGAAGAGCCGAGGGUCCCGGAUCUCCCGGGCGCCCAGGAACGGGAGACACCCAGAGGCGCCCCCCCAGGUGUCAGGAAGGAGGAGGAGAAUCCCCAGUGGGAGCCACACAGGCCUUCGCAGAGCCCCGAGCAGGGAGAGGCCAACAGGGUGGGAUGGCAGGGGGAAGAACUCCAAGGGGUGGAAAAUGGAUUUGGGCUUCUCAGUAGCAUGUCUGUACCCCAGAGACUGACCAUCUGUGGGCAAUGUGGGAAGAGCUUUAGCCAGUAUUCGGACCUUAUUAAGCACCAGCGGAUCCACACGGGGGAGAGACCUUACAGCUGCUCCCAGUGCGGGAAGAGCUUCAGCCAGAGCUCCCACCUCACCAAGCAUCAGCGGAUCCACACGGGUGAGAGGCCCUACAAAUGCCCUGACUGCGGGAAGGGCUUCAACGACAGCUCCUACCUCCUGCAGCACCGCCGCACUCACACGGGCGAGCGGCCUUACGAAUGCCCGGACUGUGGGAAAAGCUUCGGAGACAAGUCAGGCCUUACCCGGCACCAGAAGGUGCAUCACGGCGAGAGACCCUACAAAUGCCCUGACUGCGGGAAGAGCUUCAGCGACAGCUCCUACCUCAUCCAGCACCAGCGCAUCCACACGGGCGAGCGGCCCUACAAAUGCACCGAGUGCGGGAAGAGCUUCAGCCGGAACUCGCACCUGGUCCAGCACCAGCGGGUCCACACAGGGGAACGCCCCUACAAAUGCGCUGAUUGCGGGAUGAGCUUCAGCCACAGCUCCACCCUGAUCGGGCACCAGAGGACCCACCGUGGCGAUAAGCCCUACAAAUGCCCCCAGUGCAGGAAGAGCUUCCGGCACAAGUCAACCCUGGUGAAGCACCAGCGGACCCACACCGGGGAGCGGCCCUACAGCUGCCCCAAGUGUGGGAAGAGCUUCAGCUGGGGCUCGGCUUUCAUCAAGCACCAGCGCACACACACCGGGGAGCGGCCCUACCAAUGCACUCAGUGUGGGAAGGGCUUUGGGGACAGCUCGGCCCUGAUCCAGCACCAGCGCACCCACACCGGUGAGCGGCCCUACAAGUGCCUCGAGUGCGGGAAGGGCUUUGGUGACAGCUCCACCCUGAAUCAGCACCAGCGCACCCAUUUGGCAGAGAAACCCUACAAAUGCCCAGAGUGUGGGAGGAGCUUCAUCCUCAGCUCCCACCUUGUCCGGCACCAGAGGGUCCAUGUGGCCUAGAGUCCCCAUGCGAGGACAGUUCUAUUAACUGUUCACACCUCUUUAGGAACCUUAGAAACCAGGCCUCUUUAGGGACCAGGCCUCCUUAGAAACCAAGGAACAUGGAGACCUGGGACCAGGCCUCUUUAGGGACCAUGCCUCCUUAGAAACCAAGGACCUUGGAGACCUGGGACCAGGCCUCUUUAGGAACCAGGCCUCCUUAGAGACCAGAGACCAGGCCUCUUUGGGGAGCAGGCCUCCUUAGAGACCAAGGGCCUUGAAGACCUGGGACCCGGCCUCUUUAGGGAGGAGGAAGCAAGCUCCUUAGGAAUCACAUCAGCCCAGAGGUCUGACAUAGUUUUUCCCCUGGGGUGAGGCACAGCCCGUCCGACUCCAGACUAGUGAUGUACCACGUAGGCAUUGCGAUAUGAGUGCAGUGUGUGUAUGGGUGGAAGGGGAGGACGGGAAUGACUGAGGGGCCCCCAGGUGGAAAUUAGUUGAAGUGGGGAAGGAAGUGAAUAUGGGGGUCCCUUCUGCCCCAGUCAAGAUGGGGCUAUUAGAAAUGCUUAGAGGCCACAAGGCAGGGUUCUCAGCCUGGGAUCGCUGCCCCUCAAAGGGGGUCAUGGUAACCCUACCCCUUCCUUGUUGCUAAGAGGGAGGGUUCCUGUGUAUAUGGCAGUGGGAUCCUGGUAGGGAAAAGGUGAGAAUCCCCACAGUCGUGAGGGAGUGAUCUCUGAAGGACAUGGGGUCUUUUGUCUGUGCCCACUCCUGGGUGGGGGAGACCUGUUCCUUCGUUCCCCUGGAACUCCACAGCUCUGGACCUCACUCUCUGCUCCUUCUCCUCUCCCAGGGGCUGGGGAAGGGAAGUAUUGGGAGCCAUGGGGAGGGGUAUGUGAGGCUGCUGGAAACUGGAGGGGGCUGCUCUCAGAGGCCAGACAGACGUAUGCUCCCAGAUGGCUGGGCGGGGGGUGAGGGAGUGUCUAAUCCCCUCCCUGGUGGCGUCUCCAGCGCCUGGCUCCUCUCUUCACGGUGCAUAGACCUGCUAGCUCAGGAGCCCAGUGGCACCUGGGGAACGUCCGUUCCUGAGCUUGGGGCAGCUGGCAUCCAGCCAGCCUCACCCUUGGCUCUCGGUUCCCAGCAGGCACCUGGAUCCCACCCCCUGCCUGGUUUUGAUGAUGAUCCAGUCUGCUGUUGUGUUAGUCAAUUGUAUCUGUUGGAAAUAAACUUCCCCCUCGGGAUCUGCCUCCCCCCAUCUCUGUGCUGAGGGCCCUGUCUUAGGGCUCAGCGUGGCCUUGGACAUGUUGUUCUCGCCUGCAGGGAAGCUCAGAAGCUGGCUUGGGCUCCCAGUUAUCACGAUUUGCCGCUCUGAUCCUGACGUAAACCCCAGCAGAACGCCGUCUCGUCUUGCUCAGUAUCAUCUUCAUGGUAGGUGUGGCUCUCAGUUCCCUCCUGCCCUGCCUGACCCCUGGCAGGAGCCCUCCCCUCCCCCAGCCUUUCUCUGAGGGCUCAGAGAAUCAUAGAGAUGUAGGGCUGGAAGGGACUUCGAGAGGUCAUCAGGUCCAGCCCCCUGUGCAAAGGCAGGUCCGAGUAACCCUAGACCACCCCUGAAAGGUGUUUGUCCAACCUGUUCUUAAAAACCUGCAAUAUUGCCGCUUCCACAGCCUCCCUAGGAAACCUCUAACCUAUCCUACAUCUCCCUUGCUGCAGAUUAAGCCCAUUACUUCUGGUCCUGCCUUCGGUGGACAUGGCGAACAAUUGAUCACUGUCCUCUUUGUAACAGCCCUGGACAUAUUUGAAGACUGUUAUCAGGUCCCCCUUCAACCUUCUUUUCUCAAGACUAAAGAUGCCUGUUUUUUUUUAACCUUUCCUCAUAGGUUCUCUAAAGCUUUUAUUAUUUUUGUUCCUCUCCUCUGGACACUCCAGUUUGUCCACAUCUUUCUUAAAGCUCGGUGCCCACAAUUGGACACACUUCUCCAGCAGAGGCCUAGGCUGAGUGCCAUUGGACCAGCCCCUGAGAAGUGAUCACAGAAGGGAUCCCUUACCCGUUGCUCCCACUCAACUCCCAUUUCCGACUGCCACCGAACCCUCCUGGCUUCAACCUUCAUGAACCCAAUGUUCCAUCUGCCACAACUGCCAUGGAAUCUUCAUGAAUCCAAUGUUCCAUCCACCAUAAUUGCCAUGGAACCUUCAUAACGCCAAUGUUCUGUCCACCUCAACCACCACGGAGCCUUUAUAAACUCAAUGUUCCAUCUGCCUCAGCUUCCAUGGAACCCUCCUGGGCUCAACAAUUCAUCUGCCAUGGAACUUUCUGGGCACCCCUAUAUUCAUCAACAACCUUUUCCCAUCUUGUGACCUACAUCCUCAUUUCAGGGGCAGAGUCUUUAUCGGCCCCAUGUAUGUCAUCUUGCAAAGAAACAGCCAAGCCCUCACUUGGGGACAUCCCUGUGUGUCUAAUGCAGAUGGCAGCAAUCUCAGCCUGGUCACCUGCUGGCCCUAUGGGAUUCCCCCACCAAUACUCCACCAACUGAUGCAUUUUCCCCUGGGAGAGUUGAGAAUCCAUCACCCCCUAUCUGCCUCCAGAAGUCUAUAAGUUCUUUAGAGCAGGGACUGUCUUUUUGUUCUGUGUUUGUACGGCACCUGGUAUAGUGAGGUCCUGCCCCUUAACUGAGGCUCUGAGGCUCUGCUGUAAUACACCUAACAAAUAAUUCAAAGGGGUUUGGUCCAUGACUGGAUAACUAUCUAUCCAACUACUCCAGUCCUUCUCACUUCUGAGAGCUUUUUUCCUAAUGCCUGGGAAGAUAAACCCACCGAUGCCCCCCAACACACCCUGGGCUCUGAGCUGUUCCCAUGUGAGCUCCAAUUUAUAGUACAAACUUCCUUUCCACUGAAUGCAUCCGAUGAAGUGAGCUGUAGACUAACACGGCUGCUACUCUGAAACCUUUUGUUGCUCAACCUUGCUCAACAUGGGUCUACAGCUGCCCAAGGGUGGCCUAUUGUCCUGCGUCCCAGAGAGCCGCCCCACACAGGGAAGGGCUUGACACUUGCUGAAGGACCAUCCAGGACACAGCAAUCUGCAGCUACCAACUCUGAAUGUCUGUUAACUACUGGCCCUAUGGAGCAUGGGGGCACAAGUAAUCCAGAUGUGCAGGGGAAGGAGAGGGCAAGAGGGACCCUCACCAGCCUGAAACACGGACAAACUCCCAGCUGGGGCCAGCUCAGAGCAGGGGACUGGGAGUGCUUUGUGCUUGUUUUCAAAGCUCUGUCACUCUCAAGGGCUUUAAUAGUAAAGUCACUGGCGUUAGGAAACCCCUUUGCUCAGCCCGUGUUCUUUGCUUUCUGUAAGGGUCCGUGGCCGUCCCUCCCCAUCAGUCUCAGAGGGAGGCCAUGCCCCUGCACUAGUGCGUCUGAAAGGGGGAACUAGCACUCUCAAGGCUCUGAUUCUUUGGGCAGGGCAGGGCAACAAACAGUCUAUAAUGACAGGUUUCAGAGUAGCCGCCGUGUUAGUCUGUAUCCGCAAAAAGAAAAGGAGGACUUGUGGCACUUUAGAGACGAACCAAUUUAUUGGAGCAUAAGCUUUCGUGAGCUACAGCUCACUUCAUCGGAUGCAACAGUCUGUAAGGCGCUGGCCCUCUGGGACAGGCAGAGCAGUCAGCAGUGUAUGAGGCCCUCUGGCUGGGCUGAAUGACAGUCUAGAGGGCUCUGGCCGUCUGGGCGGGGCAGGGCCACAGUCUAAAGGGCUCCAGCUGUCUGGCAGGGAAGAGGAGCAAGGGAUCUAGGGGCCUCUGGGCAGGGCAGAGCAAUAAGCAAUCUAAGGUUCUGGCCUCCUAGCUCAGGCAGAUGACAGACAAAUGCAGGCCUCUAGGCCUAAGGUGGGUAGGCGGCUACCCCAGGGGUGGGGUGGCUGCAGGAGGUAGGGGGACUUGGGCCCACCCUACUCCACUGGGUCCCAACCCAGGGCCCUGCCAAUGGUGCAGGGCCUGCCUUUUAAACGUCCUGUCCCACCUCUCUGCUUCCGGUGGGGCGGGCGCGGCUGGCACGGCUCCACCCACCAAGAGUGAAUGGUGCCUCCUCCCUAUCAGUCUCCAAGGGAGGCUAUGCCCCCUCUCUACAGUUUCCCACCCCCUUGUCCAUGAAAGGGUUAAACUAGAAGCCUAGAGGGCCCACAGCCAGAGUGCCCAUGGCCUUGGCAACUGGGGGUGGAGGGGAGAGACUCGGAAGGUUUCAGGCUCUAGGACGGCUGGAUGGUGGAGUCCCAUGUCCCAAGGAUGGGCUCAGGCAAGAGGUGUGAGCCUGGGCAUGUGCCCCAUAGACCCAGAGCUGGAAACAGGGACUACACCCUGCCCAGAGCCAGAGCCAGGGGACUUGAGAGCACAUGGGACCCAACGAUGGGGGCCCACUGGCAAUAGAUGGGUGUCCAUACAGAGGGCGACUGGGCUUGGACUGCUUGGACUGCUCUGACACAAAUGGAUGGACUGAUUGAUUGGACAGACAGACAGAUGGACCAAUCGCUAGCUGAGGGAAGUGAGAUGCCAACCCCAACGUGGUGGCAUAAGACACAAAAUUGAUUCCAGAUCUCCAGGGAAUUUUCUCCCCAUUGCAGAUCAGACCCCUGGGGAUUUUGGAAAAGAUAAGAAAACCAGACUCGUGGGUGGGGGGAUUUCAUAUGCAGAAAAACAUUUGUUGUGGCACAGACGGGCCGUGGAAUUUUUAUAGCCUGUUGAGGGGGGCCACAGAAAGAAAAAGUUUGAGAACCCCUGGACUAGCUGGCUCUUGGGGAGGCUGUUGCAUUUGGGGAGUCCCUGGACACAGGGCCUUCUUCUCCCCUUUCCUAUAGGUCUCCCUCGUCAGACUACAUUUCCCAUGUUGCAUCAUGGGCAUAGGACUCCCAGGAUGCACCUCCCCUUCUCACCUAAGACAGACCAAAGUGCAUCCUGGGAGUCCCCGAGCCACCCGCAUUAUUAGAGUUGUUGGUUUCUCAUGCGCCUCUUCUCUAUAGGCUGGGCUCCCUGGUCGGACUACAUCUCCCAUGGUGCAUCAUGGCCUGCCCUAGGGGAUGGGAGGCAGUGCAUAUGGGAAUCCUGUGGCCAUGAUGCAUCAUGGGAGUUGUAGAUUGUGUGCCUCAUGAUCCUAGUCUAUAUAGGCUGGGCUCCCAGGUCUGAGUACAUCUCCCCUGAUGCAUCAUGGUCUACUCUAGGUGACAGGAGAUGGUGCAUCAUAAAACUCCCACACCUGCAGUGCAUCAUGGAAGAUCUAGUCCAGCCAGGGAGCUCAGCCCUCCCCUGACCUAGAGGAGACUGGAGACAUGAGGCAACCGAACUAUAAAUCCCCUACGGCACCGUGGUGGCAGAUCCAAAUUGAAAUAUUUCUGUUUUCAAACAUUUGGAUUUUUUGACAAGACAUGGACAUUUUCUGUGGAAAGCAGCGCAUGCUUUUCAUCUAGUCAAAAACUCAAUUUUCUGUAGAAAAACAGUU